rnacentral:lncRNA from 1 species
UUAGAUUGGAGUAGGAGGCUGGCUAACAUGUGAGUGGAAUUUAGGAUUGAUCUUCUAUUUAGUAAGUUCGAUCCUCUUCAAAUUUUGUGUACUUAUUGCCAACUUAGUUAUUGAAAGGUAUAUAAAAUCUUAAGCAAGAUUAAUAAUAUAAUUGAUAGAUAUUGAGAUUCUAAAUUAUCCCAAGAUUAGAUUAAUUUGAUUAGGAUUUGAUUUAGGAUUUAGGAAUUGGUUAGCAUUUAGGAUUUUUUUAGGAUAUAUUUAGGAUUUGACUUAGGAUUUAAAUAAGAACUAUUAGGAUUUUAAUUAGGAUUAAAGUAACAU